rnacentral:rRNA from 1 species
GACGAACGCUGGCGGCGUGCUUAACACAUGCAAGUCGAACGGUGAAGGGAUCAGCUUGCUGGUUCUGGAUGAGUGGCGAACGGGUGAGUAACACGUGAGUAACCUGCCCCCUUCUUCUGGAUAACCGCAUGAAAGUGUGGCUAAUACGGGAUAUUCUGGGUCUGUCGCAUGAUGGGUCUGGGAAAGAUAUUGUUUCGGUGGGGGAUGGGCUCGCGGCCUAUCAGCUUGUUGGUGGGGUGAUGGCCUACCAAGGCGGUGACGGGUAGCCGGCCUGAGAGGGUGGACGGUCACACUGGGACUGAGACACGGCCCAGACUCCUACGGGAGGCAGCAGUGGGGAAUAGUGCACAAGGGGCGCAAGCCUGAUGCAGCGACGCCGCGUGAGGGAUGGAGGCCUUCGGGUUGUAAACCUCUUUCGCCAGUGAAGCAGGCCUGCUCCGUGUGGGUGGGUUGACGGUAGCUGGAGAAGAAGCGCCGGCUAACUACGUG